rnacentral:precursor_RNA from 10 species
AAAUGCUAAUCAACGAUGCCAAUUGGCAUAAACCCGUAGAUCCGAUCUUGUGUUGAAACGCACUGCACAAGCUCGCUUCUAUGGGUCUGUGUCAGUAUGGUGAUCUGGCAAAAGUGUAUG